UACGGAGGGGGCUAGCGUUGUUCGGAACUACUGGGCGUAAAGCGCACGUAGGCGGCUUUGUAAGUUAGAGGUGAAAGCCCAGGGCUUAACCCUGGAAUUGCCUUUAAGACUGCAUCGCUAGAAUCGUGGAGAGGUGAGUGGAAUUCCGAGUGUAGAGGUGAAAUUCGUAGAUAUUCGGAAGAACACCAGUGGCGAAGGCGACUCACUGGACACGUAUUGACGCUGAGGUGCGAAAGCGUGGGGAGCAAACAGG
rnacentral:rRNA from 1 species